GGCCAGACUCCUACGGGAGGCAGCAGUGGGGAAUUUUGCGCAAUGGGGGAAACCCUGACGCAGCAACGCCGCGUGCGGGACGAAGGCCCUCGGGCUGUAAACCGCUUUCAGCAGGGAAGACAUCGACGGUACCUGCAGAAGAAGCUCCGGCUAACUACGUGCCAGCAGCCGCGGUAAUACGUAGGGGGCGAGCGUUAUCCGGAUUCAUUGGGCGUAAAGCGCGCGUAGGCGGCCGCCUAAGCGGAACCUCUAACCCCGGGGCUCAACCGCGGGCCGGGUUCCGGAGUGGGCGGCUCGAGGGCGGUAGAGGAGAGCGGAAUUCCCGGGGUAGCGGUGGAAUGCGCAGAUAUCGGGCAGAGCACCGAUGGCGAAGGCAGCUCUCUGGGCCGUCACUGACGCUGAGGCGCGAAAGCUGGGGGAGCGAACAGGAUUAGAUACCCGCGUAC
rnacentral:rRNA from 1 species